CCCAAGCGCCGCGCCGGCGUAGCUACUAUUCCUCUUCGCCAAGUUCACAGUUCGGACUGUUGCUUCGGGCGUCUUUGUGAAAACAGAUAAUCAUGACUUCUACUUGGGUUGGUUCUAGAGGGACGAUUCAGGAUUCCGCAGGAUUCAAUGCUUCCAAAGAUGCAGAGGCACUUAAAAAAGCAAUGGAAGGACUGGGCACGGAUGAAACAACAGUGAUUGAGAUCCUGACAGGGAGAUCCAAUGCUCAACGGCAGCUGAUAGCGGCAGAGUACAAAUCUUACACUG